rnacentral:rRNA from 1 species
GACGAACGCUGGCGGCGUGGAUUAGGCAUGCAAGUCGAACGGUAGGAUACCUUCGGGUAUCUGAGAGUGGCGAACGGGUGAGUAACACGUAGGUGAUCUACCCUCAAGAUUGGGACAACCCAGGGAAACUUGGGCUAAUACCGGAUGAAAGCAGCAGUGAUGUUGUUUGAAAGGUGGCGUAAGCUGCCGUUUGGGGAUGAGCCUGCGCUCUAUUAGUUAGUUGGCGGGGUAAAGGCCCACCAAGGCGAUGAUAGAUAGGCGGCCUUAACGGGUGGUCGCCCACACUGGGAUUGAGAUACGGCCCAGACUCCUACGGGAGGCAGCAGUCGAGAAUAGUCUACAAUGGCCGAAAGGCUGAUAGUGCGACACCGCGUGAACGAAGAAGCCCUUCGGGGUGUAAAGUUCUUUUAUAUGUGAGCAGUGCUUUCUAUGUGAACAGCAUGGGGAGAGAGAUAUUAGCAUAUGAAUAAGCAACGGCUAACUCCGUGCCAGC